UACAGAGGUCUCAAGCGUUGUUCGGAUUCAUUGGGCGUAAAGGGUGCGUAGGCGGCGCGGUAAGUCGGGUGUGAAAUCUCGGAGCUUAACUUCGAAACUGCAUUCGAUACUGCCGUGCUUGAGGACUGGAGAGGAGACUGGAAUUUACGGUGUAGCGGUGAAAUGCGUAGAUAUCGUAAGGAAGACCAGUGGCGAAGGCGGGUCUCUGGGCCGUAACUGACGCUGAGGAGCGAAAGCGUGGGGAGCGAACAGG
rnacentral:rRNA from 1 species